CUGGCUCAGAACGAACGCUGGCGGCAUGGAUUAGGCAUGCAAGUCGAACGAGGCAGCAAUGCCGAGUGGCGGAAGGGUGAGGAACGCGUGAGUAAUCUGCCCCCUAGUUGGGAAUAACAGUUGGAAACGACUGCUAAUACCGAAUGUGGCUUAUUGGUCGCAUGACCGAUGGGCUAAAGAUUUAUCGCUAGGGGAUGAGCUCGCGUCCCAUUAGCUAGUUGGUGAGGCAACGGCUCACCAAGGCGACGAUGGGUAGCUGGUCUGAGAGGAUGGUCAGCCACACUGGGACUGAGACACUGCCCAGACUCCUACGGGAGGCUGCAGUCGAGAAUCUUGGGCAAUGCGCGAAAGCGUGACCCAGCAAAUGCCGCGUGCGGGAUGAAGGUCUUCGGAUUGUAAACCGCUGUCAACCGGGACGAACACAAUGACUGUACCGGUGAAGGAAGCCACGGCUAACUACGUGCCAGCAGCUGC
rnacentral:rRNA from 1 species